rnacentral:sRNA from 1 species
CCGGCUAUCGCGCCGAGCUCCAUCCAGUAGGCGGAGGACACCGUAGUGGAUGGAGGCGGGGGACCCACCGGUCCACCGUGACAGGACUGGGGCCACAUCGGCCCCUAGGGGUGAAGCCGGCGUCGCCUCCCCAGUGGAGGACGAUCCGGCCGGGUGGCCUCUCCGACCCGAACCCGACAGCUGACCUCGCAGGCGCGUGACGAGAGAGGGU